AAGUGGAAAAGUUGAUAACUUAGUGGCGGACGGGUGAGUAACGCGUGGGUAACCUGCCUUACACAGGGGGAUAACACUUAGAAAUAGGUGCUAACACCGCAUGACAGGCGGGGGCGCAUGCCCCGGCCUUGAAAACUCCGGUGGUACGGGAUGAGCCCGCGUCCGAUUAGCCAGUUGGCGGGGUAACGGCCCACCAAAGCGACGAUCGGUAGCCGGCCUGAGAGGGUGGACGGCCACAUUGGGACUGAGACACGGCCCAAACUCCUACGGAAGGCAGCAG
rnacentral:rRNA from 1 species